CGCGGAUGCCGCCCGGAGCCGCCUUUAGCGGGGAAGGCAGCGUUCCCUUCCAGCUCAGGAAAGCAGGAAUAGCAACGCGGUUAUUUCUGGCCCCGCACCGCCCGCACCAGGGCUGCUCAGCUUCUCGGAACCAUCACUUUAUCGACUCCACCCACAGGAAAAUCCUAUUUUAGGGAACAGUCAUCAUGCCAGAAGAGGAAGCACAUCCUGGAAACAGGGAGAAGAGUCCAUCGGGAGGACCACACUGGCGGCCCGGGGAAGAGGGGCCAGGUGGCCGGGAUGGUCAGACGCGGCGAUGCUCAGGGGUAGGAGCAUACUCCUGGCUCUGCACUCAGAAAUUACUCCUGGCAGGCUCGGGGGACCAUAUGGGAUACCGAGGAUCGAACCCGGAUUGGCUGUGUGCAAGACAGAUACAGCCCUACCUGCU